GCCACUGAGCGUUGUUUAUAGUUGAGAUCUUUAUCCCUGUGCGAUUCAUAUUCGAAGCUCUGGCUAUUUUCUUGCUGAGAUGUGGUGGAUUUUGGCCAUAGAAAUACCGUAGGUAUUCCGUUCGGAAUUACCUUUAUUCAAGGCCGACUAUUUCGCUGAACGCGGAAGUAGAGUGUCACCUCUGGUAUUUUAAUCGACCUGUCAUCACUGUCACCGAUCUGUUCUGAAAUGACUAUUUUGUCAAUUGUCUUUUCUCUUGAUUGUGGAGUUUGAUGAAUAAGGUGGUGCGUGAUCCGAAUUAUCUUGCAGCAAUUUUUGCAUCCAUUCUGGGAUUUCGAGAUUUUCGGACUCGGCGAUUUCUGGCGUUGUUUAGUGGUUGUCUGAAACCUAUAUUUUUGUCGAGGCGCAGAAAUCCCUUCGGCAAUUCGCCGGAUUCAUAAAGCACCGGCCUGAUUAUUCAUAUGUUUGGACCAUCUCCACCGCCCACUUCCGUUGAAACCAGUUUGUUGUUGGAUUCUUUCUACAAUGGGACCAAAUCAAUUACCAUCUGUUAGUGGAAACACCCUCAACUGAGAGGGUGUUUGACUCCGGCUGAGCCAUCGACUGUGAAGGCCUGUAGAACCGCCAGCUUGGGUUUCGUUUUCCUCAUCAGUUCUCUUCAUUGGAUUCUUCCACUCUUGUGCCUCUAUAUGGUCAACUAUUCCUAAUAAGACACCACCGUUGUGUUAGUCUCUUAAGCGAGAGCAGCUCUCAGCCAUUACAACAGACUGAAGACCGUCCUAGACUCUUUCGGAGCUGACUGCAGCCAUCGUAGCAACCCUAAUACCCCGGAAGGAGGGUGUUCAAAGAGUUAAGAUAUUUCUUUAGAUAUUUAUUCAAAUGUUUCUGGGAUAUUCAUUUAUAUGUUGAUUAUUAUUCAGUAAGAUUAUUAUCAUUAUUUGGGUACUCUGAAGUGACGUCACAAAUCAGCAUCCCCUACAUUCACAACUGUCAAUAUUAUUUGCUUUGCAUCAGUAGUUCUGAUACUAAUAGUUUUUCAGCCCAUAUUGUGGGAGUUCAACCACAAUUAAUUUAAGAUUCUGUCGGGGUAUUCUGUACCUUUAGUAUUGUGCUUUUCCAUACAAAUAUACAUGUUUGUUUAAACUAA